rnacentral:pre_miRNA from 1 species
AAUAGAUGACGCCGUUAACUUUUUUUCACACGUUUGACCAUUCGUCUUAUUUAAAAAAUUUACGUAAUUAUAAUUUAUUUUGUUGUGAGUUGUUUUAUCACUCAAAGUACUUUAAGCAUGAUUUAUAUCUUGUACAUUUGCAUAAAAUUUUUUAAUAAGACGAAUGAUCAAACAUAUGUUCAAAAGUCAAUAAUAUCAUCUAUU